rnacentral:rRNA from 1 species
CGUGACGCAGCAACGCCGCUGGGGGAAGAAGGCCUUCGGGUUGUAAACCCCUUCAGUUGGGACGAAGCUUCGACGGUGAACAGCCGUCUGGAGUGACGGUACCUUCAGAAGAAGCCCCGGCUAACUACGUGCCAGCAGCCGCGGUAAUACGUAGGGGGCUAGCGUUGUCCGGAAUCAUUGGGCGUAAAGCGCGUGUAGGCGGCCCGGUAAGUCCGCUGUGAAAGUCGGGGGCUCAACCCUCGAAAGCCGGUGGAUACUGUCGGGCUAGAGUACGGAAGAGGCGAGUGGAAUUCCUGGUGUAGCGGUGAAAUGCGCAGAUAUCAGGAGGAACACCAAUUGCGAAGGCAGCUCGCUGGGACGUCACUGACGCUGAGACGCGAAAGCGUGGGGAGCAAACAGGAUUAGAUACCCUGGUAGUCCACGCUGUAAACGAUGGGCACUAGGUGUGGGGGGUGUCGACUCCCUCCGUGCCGAAGCUAACGCAUUAAGUGCCCCGCCUGGGGAGUACGGCCGCAAGGCUA